rnacentral:snRNA from 1 species
GCUUCCUCAGGAGCAUUGGAGUAAUGGGAUCUGUUUGAUGCAGAGAAGAUAAGCAUGAUCCCUGGGCAAGGAUGACACGAGAGGUUGUGAAAUGUUCCAUGUUUUU